AGGCCUCCUCAGCAAGUGCCACAGCUUGAUCAGCUCACAAAGCUGCCUGCAACAUUGAAUCCAUUGGGCUCUGUUAUACAGCCACAGCAACAGUUGAAUGAUAUUGCUCAGCAACCGAGGCAAAAUUUGAUGAAUCAAACUCUACCCUCAAGCCAGGUUCAGGCUCAACUUCUGCAGCAGCCUCAAGCUCUGGUCCAAAACCACAAUAUUCUUCAGCAGCAACCAUCUGUUCAAAAUCAGCAGCUCCACAGAAACCUCCCUCAGAACCUGCAACAGCAGCAGCAACC
rnacentral:lncRNA from 1 species